UACAGAGGGUGCUAGCGUUGUUCGGAAUCAUUGGGCGUAAAGGGCGUGUAGGCGGUUUGUUAAGUCAUGUGUGAAAUCCCUCGGCUCAACCGGGGAACGACGCAUGAAACUGGCAAGCUAGAGUACUGGAGAGGAAACUGGAAUUUACGGUGUAGCAGUGAAAUGCGUAGAGAUCGUAAGGAAGGCCAGUGGCGAAGGCGAGUUUCUGGACAGUUACUGACGCUGAGGCACGAAGGCCAGGGGAGCAAACGGG
rnacentral:rRNA from 1 species